rnacentral:rRNA from 1 species
GUGGGGAAUCUUGCGCAAUGGGCGAAAGCCUGACGCAGCCAUGCCGCGUGAAUGAUGAAGGUCUUAGGAUUGUAAAAUUCUUUCACCGGGGACGAUAAUGACGGUACCCGGAGAAGAAGCUCCGGCUAACUUCGUGCCAGCAGCCGCGGUAAUACGAAGGGGGCUAGCGUUGCUCGGAAUUACUGGGCGUAAAGGGCGCGUAGGCGGACAGUUUAGUCAGAGGUGAAAGCCCAGGGCUCAACCUUGGAAUUGCCUUUGAUACUGGCUGUCUUGAGUACGGGAGAGGUGAGUGGAACUCCGAGUGUAGAGGUGAAAUUCGUAGAUAUUCGGAAGAACACCAGUGGCGAAGGCGACUCACUGGCCCGUUACUGACGCUGAGGCGCGAAAGCGUGGGGAGCAAACAGGAUUAGAUACCCCAGUAGUCC